GCUUUCAGGAAUCAAGCGUGGCGCGGGGUGGAAACCUCCCGACAGAACGUACCUUUGCGAGGACCACUUCGAGCCCUCCCAGUUCCAGACGAGGUGCUCUGACGGCUGGAGGAGGCUAAAAGCCACAGCUGUUCCGAGCUUGUUUCUGCAUUCUGAAAGUCAACAACCAGCGGCCAGGACCUCCGGA